rnacentral:tRNA from 2 species
GGUGGUAUAGCCAAGACGGAAAGGCGAAGGUCUGCAAAACCUUGAUGCAUCGGUUCGAACCCGAUUACCACCU